AGUGAACGCUGGCGGUAGGCCUAACACAUGCAAGUCGAACGGCAGCACAGUAAGAGCUUGCUCUUACGGGUGGCGAGUGGCGGACGGGUGAGGAAUACAUCGGAAUCUACUUUUUCGUGGGGGAUAACGUAGGGAAACUUACGCUAAUACCGCAUACGACCUACGGUUGAAAGCAUUGGAUCUUCUGACCUUGCGCGAUUGAAUGAGCCGAUGUCGGAUUAGCUAGUUGGCGGGGUAAUGGCCCACCAAGGCGACGAUCCGUAGCUGGUCUGAGAGGAUGAUAAGCCACACUGGAACUGAGACACGGUCCAGACUACUACGGGAGGCAGCAGUGGGGAAUAUUGGACAAUGGGCGCAAGCCUGAUCCAGCCAUACCGAGUGGGUGAAGAAGGCGUUCGGGUUGUAAAGCCGUUUUGUUGGGAAAGAAAAGCAGCAGGUUAAUACCCCGCUGUUCUGACGGUACCGAAAGAAUAAGCACCGGCUAACUUCGUG
rnacentral:rRNA from 1 species